GCUUACGGCCAUACACCCUGAACACGCCCGAUCGUCCGAUCUCGGAGCUAAGCAGGGUCGGGCCUGGUUAGUACUUGGAUGGGAGACCGCCUGGGAAUACCAGGUGCUGUAAGCU
rnacentral:rRNA from 1 species